GACGAACGCUGCGGCGUGCGUAACACAUGCAAGUCGAACGAGAGAGAGAGAAGCUUGCUUUUCUUACGAUCGAGUGGCAAACGGGUGAGUAACGCGUAAACAACCUGCCCCGCAGAUGGGGACAACAGCUGGAAACGGCUGCUAAUACCGAAUACGGUCCUCUUAGCGCAUGGUAAGAGGAAGAAAGGGUGGCCUCUGGAACAAGCUACCGCUGCGGGAGGGGUUUGCGUCUGAUUAGCUGGUUGGAGGGGUAACGGCCCACCAAGGCGACGAUCAGUAGCCGGUCUGAGAGGAUGAACGGCCACAUUGGAACUGAGACACGGUCCAGACUCCUACGGGAGGCAGCAGUGGGGAAUCUUCCGCAAUGGGCGAAAGCCUGACGGAGCAACGCCGCGUGAGUGAAGACGGCCUUCGGGUUGUAAAGCUCUGUUAUAGGGGACGAACGGCCGGGUAGCGAAGAGGUAGCCGGCAUGACGGUACCGUAAGAGAAAGCCACGGCUAA
rnacentral:rRNA from 1 species